CAUGUCCCCAGCAUGCGGAAGUUCCUGGGCCAGGAGUCGAACCCACGACAUAGAAGCAACCUGAGCCACAGCAGUGACACGCCUUAAUGUGCUGAGCUACAUGAGAACUCCAAAGCUUCUCUUUCUUAAAACCCUUGCUGUGUUUCGUCUUGUGGAUUCAAUUAGUGUCUCUUCCUAGAUGGGACUACAAAAUCUUAUUGAUCUUAUGUUGUAAAACAGGACAGAAGUACUUUGCUUUUUUUUUUUUUUUGUCUUUUGUCUUUUUAGAGCCGCACCCAAGGCAUAUGGAGGUUCCCAGGCUAGGGGUCAAAUCACUGCUAUAACUGCCGACAUUCACCACAGCCAGAGAAAUGCCAGAUCCAAGCUAUGUCUGAGACCUAUAUCACAGCUCAUGGCAACGUUGGAUCCUUAACCCACUGAGCAAGGCCAAGGAUUGAACUCAGCAUCCUCAUGGAUAUUAGUCAGGCUCGUUAACCACUGAGCCAUGACGGGAACUCCCAACUAAUUUUAAAGAAAGAACAAAAGGUAAACAUUGAAACAUUAUGUCAUUAUCCAUUUUCCCAAAGAUCUGCAGCCUAAUGUAUGACCCAGGUUGCUGUUUCCCAGAAAGCCAGGUCAAGUCACCAGCCAGCCAUCUCUAAAUGGGCUCUGAGAAGACAAGUACUUAUCAAGGGACAUAAAAGCAGCCACUCCACCUGAAAGGCACCACAUAUUCCAGGAUGCACUUACCCUUCCAGGAUGUCCAUUCUUUUUUUUACUGCUGCAUCUGCAGUACAUGGAAGUUCCCAGACUAGGGGUCAAAUUGGAGUUGCAGCUGAGGCCAUAGCCAUAGCAACAGCAGAUCUGAACCACACCUGAGACCUAUGUCACAGCUUGUGGCCUCAAGCCAGACCCUUGACCCACUGAGCAGGGCCAUGGAUUGAACCUGCAUCCUCACAGAUACUAUGUCAGGCUCCUAACCUCUGAGCCACAACGGGAACUCCCAGGAUGUCCAUUCUUAGUCAAGACUAGGUUCCAUUUUGACAUUAAGUAUAAUGAAAGCUCAUGCCGCAUUAAUUCUGCUCUAACAAUUUAUCUUUUUAGGAGUUCCCAUCGUGGCUCAGUGGUUAAUGAAUCCGACUAGGAACCAUGAGAUUUUGGGUUUGAUCCCUGGCCUUGCUCAGUGGGUUAAGGAUCCAGUGAUGCCAUGAGCUAUGGUGUAGGUUGCAGACGCAGCUUGGGUCCCGAGUUGCUGUGACUCUGGCAUAGGCUGGCAGCUACAGCUCCUAUUGGACUCCUAGUCUGGGAGCCUCCAUAUGCCGCAGAAGCGGCCCUAGAAAAGGCAAAAAGACAAAAAAAAAUUUAUCUUUUUAAAAAGUUUUGACUUAUGAGACAUAGUUAUGAGGAAAGAAACUAUUCAAAAAGUUGAUGUCCUUUCGUGGGAAGUGAUGUUUACUGCAAAAGGUAAAGCUGAGUGGAUGGGAAAGGUAGGCAAACAUGCACUGCUGUGGAAUCAAGUCCAGACACCUUUGCAUGGACGAAAGGAUGGACUCUGAAUUUUGACUGCCUGAGUGCCCAUUCAGUUCCACCCCUUCUUGGCUGGGUGACCUUAGGCAAGUUACUCAAACUCAAUAAGCCCAGCUCUUUCAACUGUGCAAUAGAAUAACAACGGAUCUCCUCAAUCAGGGAGGACUCAAUAGGGUAAUCCUCAUAAAGCCCCAAGCACCCAGAGCAGUCCACCAGCAGCAGCAACAGCUCCUAGCACUGGUACCUCUCCUGCAUUUCCCCUAAUACUCCUGCCAGGGAAAACUGCUAUUUCGAUGGUGCCUCCUUAAAGCAUCACAUAGCUUCAGAUCCUGGCACACCAGUUCACUUAGAGAAGGCUACUCUAUCAGUUAGAGUCUCAACAGGAAUAGAUGACACACAAGUUGAAUAAUUUGAGAAGAGUCUAAUAUAGGAACUAUUUACAUGGGUGUGGGCCGUGGAGAAGGGAAGCACAACUUGGCAGGACAGAACCCCAGGGCAAGUAACAUCAGAGCUCACAUCACCCCGACCCAAGACUCAUUCUUGGACCCAGAAGCAAAGCUGGGUGGAGAGGGUUGCCUGGCAGGAGCCAUGACCUUCAGAAGAGGCAUGUUGCUACCUCAGAGAAACCCAACAGGGAGAAGAGUCAAUUCCUGACUGCCUUUUCCUCCAUCUACAGUAUUGAAGUGCUCCCAGCUGUCCAAACCCAACUGAUCAGGAGGGAAGAUGAGCCAGUUGAUACCGUCCAUAGAGGUCACCCUGAAGGAAAGAGGGUAGGGAAGUGGGGGAGGGGGUCUUGGGAGCAAAUGGAAGAUACUGUGCACUUUCUUCAUCCAUCCCCCUAGACUUGGGCUACUUCCAAUUGUCCAGGUUAAUCAGUUCAGUCCCCUCUCUGUGCUGCCUCAGCAAAUCCCACCGGUUACAACUCAGCACAGGGUCUUGCAUUAGACGCUGGGACAGCUGACUGCUUCUUACCUGUGAGUGCCUGGAGGAGAAGGGUUCUGACCUCGUACUUAAUAGCAUUUCUUAAUUCCAUGGAAGUAUCGUGGGGUCUAUCAGAACACAGAGCUUCUCCUACAUGGGUACAAACGUCAUUGAGAUUCCAGAACUAAGUCCUUCAAAUACCACAGGCAAGUACAUAAAACCACUGAAAGCUUAGGAUAAAGUUAAGUUAUGGUGGAUGAAUUUCCAAAUGGAAUUACAGCCAAAGAAUUGUCUGAAAAGAUGGAUAGCCUUACUUCUAAAUAAGUGUGUGUUAGUUUACCAAAUCCAGUACUGUCGGUUUAUUGUGAAAAGGGAGAUUAGGGUAAAACUGGUUUCUCUUUACCUUUGUGGGAUUUCUCAGAAUUAAAUGCUCAUUUCAGUGUAAAACUUUCAAGAGAAGAUAGGGUGCCUAUUCCUCAUGUUUACAAGCAGCACCUCAUGGGGCUAAUGUUUUGUGUAGCACAUGCUGGAAAACACUGGUUAAGACAAGGCAAGAAAUGUAGUCUUUAUAUCGCUAUGGCAGGGCUGUACUUCAAAGGAUUUUAUUCCCACUGAAUACUUUUUUUUCCUUUCUUUUUAGGGCUUCAUUUGCAGCAUA
rnacentral:lncRNA from 1 species